CCGAGUCAGGGUCUCUCAGGCCCGAAACUCCAACCCUGUGUCUAUUUACCACGUUGCUUUGGCGGGCCCGCCUUAACCGGCCGCUGGAGAUUUGUCUCUCGCCAGUGCCCGUCAGUAGCCCCCCCACAAAUUCUUUAUCACAGUGAUGUCUGAGUACAAAUAUAAUAGUUAAA
rnacentral:misc_RNA from 1 species